CAGCAGCCGCGGUAAUACGGAGGGUGCAAGCGUUAAUCGGAAUUACUGGGCGUAAAGCGCACGCAGGCGGUCUGUCAAGUCAGAUGUGAAAUCCCCGGGCUUAACAUGGGAACUGCAUUUGAAACUGGCAGGCUAGAGUCUUGUAGAGGGGGGUAGAAUUCCAGGUGUAGCGGUGAAAUGCGUAGAGAUCUGGAGGAAUACCGGUGGCGAAGGCGGCCCCCUGGACAAAGACUGACGCUCAGGUGCGAAAGCGUGGGGAGCAAACAGGAUUAGAUACCCGAGUAGUCCCUGUCUCUUAUAC
rnacentral:rRNA from 1 species